rnacentral:tRNA from 1 species
AUAUAGCUCAAUGGUAGAGUGCUCUCCUAACAUGUGUGAGGUCCUGGGUUGAAUUCCCAGUAU